rnacentral:tRNA from 1 species
AGGGGCGAUAGUUCAACGGUAGAAUAGAGGUCUCCAAAACCUUUAGUAUGUGGGUUCGGAUUCCUACUGCCCCUCGCCA